UACAGAGGGGGCAAGCGUUGUUCGGAAUUACUGGGCGUAAAGGGCUCGUAGGCGGCCAACUAAGUCAGACGUGAAAUCCCUCGGCUUAACCGGGGAACUGCGUCUGAUACUGGAUGGCUGGAGUUUGGGAGAGGGAUGCGGAAUUCCAGGUGUAGCGGUGAAAUGCGUAGAUAUCUGGAGGAACACCGGUGGCGAAGGCGGCAUCCUGGACCAAUACUGACGCUGAGGAGCGAAAGCCAGGGGAGCAAACGGG
rnacentral:rRNA from 1 species